CUCGUCAGCAGAGGGCGACUCCUCUGAGGAGGCUUCAGGCUCUGUGAGGAGAAAGAGAUUUAAAUUCAAGAAAGAAAGGAAAGAAAAAGUUAAUUAAAAAGCUGCAGUGGAGGCAUCCCAGCAGGUCUCCAGAUGCCCUCUGGAGGAGGCGUGGACAAAGGUUUUAAAUCCGGGAGGUUCAGAAGAAGUACAUUUCCUGAGGCUACUACUGAGUCUCUUAAAGAAGGCAAACAGCUUUUUUUCCCCCCAGCAUAUUUUAAUUUGUUAUUUCACUUGUAAAUUGCACAGGUUUCGCACUGUGAAGGUCCAGUUUGUACGAUUUACAGCAGUGAGGUUGCAGACUGCAACCAACUAAAUAGCACUCCCUUCACCGUCCCAUUUCCAGAACCUUUAGUGGCCACGAAACACUGCAAAAGGCCCUAUGUACAGCCAGCGUUUGGUUUGUCUGUUCUGGGCUACUGUAGAAACAUGGCGGUUCAAUAUGGUGGAAGAGGACCCGCUCCCUCUGUUGAUGGAAAAUACUCUUAAGUAAGGAAAACACGAUUCUUAUAUAACGUUGAUUAUACACAAAUGUAAUAUUGAAUUUCUGCACAUAGAUCUUCUAAAAUGAUCCAAAUAAAACACUGAAACACUAAA